UGCUCUGGACAAUGGUGAGAAGAAUAUCCUGGCUUCUUUUCUUUCUUUUUCAUGAACAAAAUGUAUAUGGAAACAACAGUUCAGUAUGAGGUUCAUUAGCAUUUCAGGCCUGUACUAGGAGUUAAUCCCAGGAUUCUACUCUGCUUCAAUAUGACUGCUUCCUGCAGCAAGGGGGUAAGACCUGGAACAUGGCUUUCUUAACAUUUGUAUCCCAACAGUCUCUGAUCUCUCUUGCACCACCACUCAGAAACCUUCCCUAAGAUAGCCUGUAAUUUUCCCAGCUAGAAAAUGCCUCCAAUGUUACCACAUAUCAAGUUAUUGGAAAAUUGAUUAAAACAUUAAGUUAUAAUUAGCAAAGUUUAAGGUUUUCUUUUCAGCAUAGUUCAGUAUUUCAUUGCUGAUUAAUUCACAUUCUCAUACUCCUUUGUAGGGCCAACCAUACCAAGUCAGUGGAGUUGAAGGCUGUCAGGGUGUUUGUCUUCAGAGAGAACCCUCCCCAUAAAAUUUCCCAUAAUGUCUGUCACAAAUACCUAAAAUUCCACCAUUAGAGAUUCACUCUUUUGGGUCUGGAGGCAUUUUAAUCCCUGGGGGCCCUAUUAAAAUGCAAAAGCUCUGAGAAGAAUAACAGCAUUAAAAGCUAUUAUUAACUGACAGCAAGAAGGCCCUUGGGAAUCGGACACAGGCUAGAGCCCGAGGAAUAACUACAGGAAAUCAGGACAGAAGGAGAGGGAAGGAAAAUCUGUCUCCAUCCAACAAGUUGCUGGUUUGCAUCAGCAAGAAAUGGUCCUGGAACACUCUCUUCACCCUUCAGAGAUGCUUUCUUCCUUCAAAGAGGCAUCU
rnacentral:lncRNA from 12 species